rnacentral:lncRNA from 1 species
CAGGAUGGCUUUAUGGGGAGUGUAUCAGACACCACCUUGCACCAUCCAGGAGGCCUGAAAUGUCUGAGUGCUCUAUUUUAGUGAUGUUAAGAUCGCUCAGCUGAUGUCACCCCAAUCCUUCCAUUCAACUUCUGCGUGACAGGAUUUCAACACUGAGGGAAGCCACUCUGAGUUUAUGAUCCCUGCCUAGAUUUUCUCAUCUGUUCAAGGGAAGAAACAGGACCAAGGAUGUUUAAUGAUUUGCUCAAUAUCAUUUGUUUGUCAACAAAUAUUUAUCAAGCCCUCCUCCCCCCCUGGAAGAAUCCACUGCUCUUUCUAUGUAAAAUUUCAUCACUGCUCCCCAGGUUUCCAUGUGGCUCAGUUCUUAAAGAACUUGGUAACUAUGAAAGCUGCCUGGAGCAGACCACAAGCCUCGGGAGGGUAGGGAUCUCUAUUUAUUCUUCACAGAACUCCUGGACAGAGCAUAGUUCCUGGCACAGAAUAGGCAGCUGAUAAAGGAAGAAUGAAUGAAUGAAAUGUUUGCUUAAUUAAUCUAAUCAAAAUAUGCAUGAACUUUUGGGGCACCUUUCCAAACAUAUGUUUCUCCAUCUUCUUUACAAAUAUACCUCUUCACAAAAGAAUUCCCAGAUAGUUCUUAUCAGGUUCUGUCCAUGAUUCCAUCCCAAUAUGAAUCUUAGAUAUUCGUAAAGAUUGGUGUGAUCUUUUGCCAAGUGCUUUUUCUGACAGAUCUCACAAGGAGUCGAGGACUGGCUUUAAUUUCCCCCAAAAGUUUUGAAGUAUCUCACCUGGAUGCUCUGUUGCCCUUCUCCAAUUUCCAGAGAGCAGCCAGGGUGAAAUUUUUCAAGUGCCAUUCUGGUCAUGCCAUCCCACCACUGAAAAGCCUCCAAUGUUCUUUCAUGGUGCUUAGAACACAGCCCAGACUCCUGGCUGGGCCCCUCGAGUUCCUGCCCAUCUUGCCUCAUGGCCAUCAUCUCUCUCCAGCCUCAUCUCUUAGCCUUCCUUAGCCCACACUGGCCUCCAUUCAUUCUGCUGAGCCCAGAACAUGCAGCCCAGACCCACUCAAGGCCCUUGCACCUGCUUCUUCCUCUGCCUGGCCUGCUCCUUUGCAGCUCUUCCUGAGGACAGUUAUCUUCCCCCUUUGGCUCUCUGAUCCUACUUAGGAUGGACCUCCUCUCCUUCCUGUCUAUUCCAUAACCCUGGGUAUUUGCAUCAUAACACUGUCACUGGCUAUACUGAUCUUAGCUGUUUACUUUUCCCUCUUUAUUAUCCCCAUUCUCCACUAGAAUAGAAUCUCCAUGAAGACAAUGCAUUUAUCAUAUUCACUACUCUAGUCUCAACAACCAGCACAGUGCUUGGAACAGAAAAUGAGCUUGAUAACUAUUUAUUGGGCAAAUGAAUCAAGGCAAACCAUUAAAAGCCUGUGAAUACAGAGUGCCUGAAUCCUUGAUCAGCCUGCCUGCUCCCCUCAACCUGGUCCUUACACCCCCGCACAUAGCUAAGCCUUUUGACACACUAUAGCUCAACUUGGCCACAGUCUCUGGGAAAGGUUGAAGUAGCCCUGAUUUGCUUAGAUCUCACAUCAAAUUCCCUUAAUGUUAGGCCUUCUCCCACCUUGGACCCAAGAUCUAACUCCCAAGAUUGUUGUUUAUUCUUGGACCUAAACAUUCAUAUCAUUUCUGAGGUCAUACACAGACUCUGCCUUGUUUUCCCUGCUUCUCUGUCUGCCUCAUCCCUCGUCACUCCCCUCCCACCCUACAAGUUAGAGCUGUGGUCCUUAGGCCAGGCCCUGUGCUGGAGCCAUGCUGCUGCUGCUGACCUGGUGGGCCUCUUCUGGAUGUGUCCCCAUGUCUCCCAUCAAAGUCUUUCCUAUCCCCCUCCCCACAACCUUUGUCCAAAGCAGCCAACUGCCAGAAGAUGGGCCAAUGUUAAAGGCUGUCACACAGAGCAAGCAAAUGUGGCCUGCCCCUCCUCCUCAGAACCGGGAAGGGUUCCCCAAGAUCUUGAAAAGGAAGAGGAAGUGGUCUGUUGCUCUCAUAAGCACUUCAAAUGAAAAGAAAUGUCAGCUAUAUCCUUUUUUUAGAUUUCACAUAUGAGUGAUAUCAUAUGAUGUUUGUCUCUCACUAACUUCAUUUAGUAUGAUAAUCUCUAGGUCCAUCCCUGUUGUUUCAAAUGGCAUUAUUUAAUUCUUUUUUAUGCUGAGUAAUAUUCCAUUGUAUGUAUUACCAUGUCUUAUUAUCCAUUCCUCUGUCAAUGGACAUUUAGGUUGCUUCCACUUCUUGGCAACUGUAAAUAGCACUGCUAUGAACAUUGGAUGCAUGUAUCUUUUUGUAUUAUAGUUUUCUUUGAAUACAGUUUUCUUUCUUUUCCCAGGAUUGGGCUUGCUAGAUCAUGUAGUGAAUUUAUUUGCAGAACGGAAACAAACUUAGAGACUUUGAAAACAAACUUAUGGUUACCAAAGGGGACAGGUAGGGGUGGGGGAAUAAACGAGCAGUUUGGGAUCAGCACAUGCACACUGUGGUACAUGGAAUGACUGGCAACAGGGACCCGCUGUGUAGCACAGGGAACUAUACCCAGUAUUUUGUGAUAAUCUAUGUGGGAGAAGAAUCGGAAAAAGAAAGGAGGUGUAUAUAUGUAUCAAUAAAUCACUUUUUUUUGGAAGGAAGAAAUGAUCACAACAUUGUAAAUCAACUAUGCUUCAGUAAAACGUUUUUAAAAGUUCAGAAAAAAGACAUUUUAGAUUCGAACUAUUAAGUUGAACCACACGAAAUCGCCAGUUUGCUACCUACCAAAAAUAGAAGGUUUAUAUCACUCAGCCACAACAUCUCUUGGCCUGCUUCUCCCACUCAGACAUGGCACACAAAACUAUUGUCAGCUGUCUUGGACUAAUCUGGAGUGAAGAAAAUAUGGAUCAUAAUUAAAGGGUGAAGUCCAGGUCCAAAUUCUAUGGAAGGGAAAGCCUUCCCAACCUGUGUGCUACUGCUUAGGAUACUUGAAACCAAAGGAUAAGGAGGGAAUAUUGGUUAAUCACUCACUCCCUCAGCACAAGUGCAUUCAGGCCCUACUGUAUACUAGGCAUUAUGCCUUUAACCUAACAUUCUCUUUACACUUUAAGUUUAGUCCCAGCCUUGCUCUUCCUUUUGAGGAAGGCCUUUGGGUUAUGACAGAAAUAGCACUGGUUUAGAGUCCAAAAAACCAUGGUUCAGCUCCUAGGUGUGUUCUUAAUUAGCCUGAUAACCAUGGGGGGAAUUUCAGACCCUCUCUGAGUUUUCAGCUUCCUCAUUGAUAAAUGGGUCUUAAAAAACCCCACACUGUACAUUCAGGAUGAAAUAAGUUGAUCCACAUGGCAAAUACACUUACUAUGGGCAAGUUCCCUUCACUCCUCCUUUUUUCAUAAACACUUGAUUUGUUCUCAAGUUUCCUCAGAGAAGCUAUGACCCCUGGUUUAAAUAGGUUUGUUCAAGUUGGAGCAGACACAUAUUGGUUAAUCACUCAUAUUAAGUGAGAUAAAAGUCUGGGGCAAGGUUCAUAGACACCAGGUUAAGAAUUCCUGGUGGAAGUUUAGGCAAUUCAAUACUCAGAGGAUGUGCCUGAUCCCAAAUGAUCAAUGUCUCUGUUUGCAUUCUUGUUCUAUUUUCAGAUGUUUUAUAAACACAGCAAUAUCAAAGAGCAAUAUCAGAGUUCUGCUGUCACACUGGACUUUGUCACUGCCCAGAGCCCUUGGCCAGUGUUUUCACUGAUCAUGACUAAUUGUUGGCAAAGCUGCAAGGAGAAGUCAUUCUCAUAUCCUGCUGGGGGAAGUGUAAAUUGAGAACACCUUUUGGAAGACAAUUUGACAGUCCAAUUAAGAACCCAGAAAUGUAUAUAAAUUAUAUAUUAUAAGUUCACCAUUAAGACUAUCUUGUGAGAAAGUAAUUCAUCAGAUGUUUGUUUAUAAAAUUUGGGGGGGGGAUCCUCAAUAUCCAAUCAGAGGCUUAAUUAGAUCAAGUACAGCUACCCAUAAAAUGGAAUACAAUUGGACCAUCAGAAAUAUAUGAUAAAAUGAGAAAGUGUCAUCCAUUGCUAAGUUAAUAAAUCUGAUUAUAAAGCAUGGUAGUAAUUUUUUUAACCAAAUACACCAAAAGUUCAACAGUGGUUGUGUCUAUGUGGAAAGAUUAUUGGUGAGUUUUGUCAUCCUCUGUGUUUUCCAUAUUUUCCAAAUUUUCUGCAAUCUAUGUGAAAUACUUAAAAUACUUUGAAAAUUAGAGGAUGGAGGAAAGGAUGCAUCUUUUUGUUUCUAAGUAGUUAAUUCUAAGUAGUUAACAACUCUUUAAGUAGUACUUUACCAGAUGGGAACAGAGCAGGGAGCAGGAAAUUCUGAGGAUGAUGGAGACACGAAUGGUCACUGUUAUAUCAUGGUUAUGAAAGAUUUAGGGACCAACCUUGUUUCUAUUUCCAUGUUCUGUAUUAGUACAUGUUUAAAGGAUGCUGAUGUGAGUUCUCCAGGCUACAUAUAAAAAAAUUGCCUUGGCCAGUUGCAUUCAACUCAGGGAAUAAUACAAUGGAAUGUCAGGGCAGGCAGGAAUCUUAGAAAUCAAUUCGUUUUACUCCAUUUCUUAGAUGAGGCCUCAGAGCUCAGAGGAGCCAAGUGAUUCAUCUUAGGCUGAAGAACUAGUCAUGGCCUUAUACAUGGCACUAUUUAGCAAGUAUAUUGGGGUUCAUAUGAUGAAUAGGGGAAGAUUAUCAUAGAUUAGAAAGACCCUUUACAAACCUAUCCAUUUGGAAUAAGGUGGGAUAUAAAAAACAGGAACAAGACAAGAAGAAAAAUGUGUUCGCCAGCAUUCCACUUGAGGAGAGCACAGUGUUUGUUUCAAGGAAUGUUAUGAUAAGCUUACUUGGACUAGAAACUGAGGCCUUGGGGCCAUGAAAUGGCUAAACUGUAUUUCUUCCUGAAAAAGGGAAGGAUGGAGGGAGUUCCCAUUGUGGCUCAGUGGGAACAAAUCCGACAAGUAUCCAUGAGGAUGUGGGUUUGAUCCCUGGCCUCGCAUCCGGCAUUGCCAUGAGCUGUGGUGUAGGUGGCAGAUGAGGCUCAGAUCCUAUGUUUCUGUGACUAUGGCAUAGGUCGGCAGCCACAGCUCCAAUUCAACUCCUAGCCUAGGAACUUCCAUAUGCCACAGGCGUGGCCCUAAAAAGAAAAAAAGGGGGGGGGGACGGGGGAAGGAUGGAAAAAGAGGAAAGAGAUGAGGAAUACUGGUCAUUAAAUAAUGGUGAAUAGAUGGUUUUAUGUGAAUUGUAUGAAACAUCUGAUUUCUGUAUCCAAGUUGGGGCAACCAAUAGGCUGACUUCUCCCAACCAGUCCUAGUUUGCUUGAGGCAUUCCCACUUUUAU